AUUGAACGCUGGCGGCAGGCCUAACACAUGCAAGUCGAACGAGUGGCGGAUGGGUGAGUAAUGUCUGGGAAACUGCCUGAGGGAGGGGGAUAACUACUGGAAACGGUAGCUAAUACCGCAUACCAUCGGAUGUGCCCAGAUGGGAUUAGCUAGUAGGUGGGGUACAGCCUCACCUAGGCGACGAUCCCUAGCUGGUCUGAGAGGAUGACCACCCACACUGGAACUGAGACACGGUCCAGAGUCCUACGAGAGGCAGAAGUGGGGAAUAUUGGACAAUGGGCGGAAGCCUGAUGCAGCCAGGCAGCCUGUAUGAAGAAGGCCUUGGGGGUGGAAAGUCCUUUCAGCGGGGAGGCGUUACCGGCAGAAGAAGCACCGGCUAACUCCGUGCCAGCAGCCGCGGUAAUUC
rnacentral:rRNA from 1 species